CCCUCAGGCUCUCCUUAAGCGGUGCCAGGGGCCACUUCACAGUAAACAUGCUUUAGAGCUUGUACAAAGGCUUUGAAGAACUCUCCUCCCAGGGGUUUAAACCAGCUUGCACCUCAGUCGGUACUCAACACGCUCAAGCAUGUCUGUGAAGGGAGCGCCGUUCUCUCGUGCAGAGUUUUAUUCCUGAGGCUAGUCAAGGUCAUGUCCAAGAGACCACCAAAAUCGAUUUGAAUAUCCUGUGGGAAAGCAAGAUGUGCAGUUCCAGCCACCUGGAUGAUAAAGGAAGAUCAACACUAACAUAACUAUCUGGACAGUCAAAGAAGAAAUAAUACUAACAUAAUCAGAUCACAGCAACUAUAAAGUGCCUUGGACAGAUUGUACUGAA